CUCAAAGACAGCUUUACACCAAUUAUACACAUUUUCACCAGAUGAAUGAUGUUUUUAUACAUUUCUAUUAUCCUCCUCUUAGGGGUGCCAGCAGUUGUGCUGGGAGUGACUUUGGAUCAAGGUCCAAAGGUUGUGGUUAAAGGAGUGGGCAAAACUAUUUAUCUGCAAUGCAAGGUAAAGGAUCUGGGCUCUUCAGACUAUAUCCACUGGUACCAAGUUAAAGACAAAGAAGCCCCAACAAGGCUACUCUACAUCAGUAAAGGAGGUAGUGUUGCUCGUGAUACCAGCGCUGAUGCAGCUGACUUCACAGUGGACAAAACAAAGCUUUAUGAUCUAAAACUGAGUAAGAUUCAGCCGAAACAUUCUGCUGUUUAUUUCUGCGCCUACUGGGACAGAAGCAGCGGCCACAGUGAGAAGAUUUACUCACAUCCUGUACAUGAACUAUACUGCAUGGCACUUCGGCUCAGAAAGGACUGUUUCCUGAAAACUUUACACAGCGUCUGGAGUAAAUGACCUUCGGUGUGUUGUGAGAAGGCACAUGGAUCUGGACGUCUGCUGACCGAGCCACUCACUAUAAAGUCUAAAGUACUGAUGACAUCUGAACUAUCAGACUAGACAAACACCACAUAAGAGGAAAUAACACCAUCGACUAAACGAAGCAAGAGGAGACAAAAAUACUGUACCUACUCUGAGCAUAAAGAAAAUAACCAAGCAUGAUGUGAUAGUAUGGUCAACCUUUUCUCAGAAAACCAAGAUCAAAUCCCUGUUUUAUGUUUGUUUACCUGUGAGCAGCAACGAAUUGAUGUGUGCUUUGUUGGAACUCUGGUGAAAAAAUAUGCAAUAUAUGUCAUUGGUUGAUAGAGUUAUCAUUGUCUUCAUUGUUUGGUUCUGAGACAAAAAAUUGCAUCACUGUGUUAGUAUAGUUAGCUUCACUGUAGAGCAUUUCUGUGAUGUACAUAUCUGUGCUAAUUUAACUGUAAAGUGAAUAAAGAAUAGUUCAUAUGAGUCGUGGUUUAUUUUCACGAAAGGAAACAGCAUCAGUA